ACCAGCAGCAGGGCCAGGGGCCUGUCCUCUAGCCCAGGGCUGGCCAGGCGUGGGGCCGCCUCAUCCUUGCACCCCUGGGCUCCUGGGCCACAUCGUCCGUGGAGAGACCACGGAGCCUGGGCUUCUUCAGUGACAGGGGUUGGCCUCUGCGUGGAAAGGCCCGACAAGGAUGCUGCUUUCCUGUGGAGGGUGUCCAGGCGCCUAGUCAGACAGCACUGCUGGUCUCCCAUGUGCCCAUCUCUGCCCGGGACCCACCCCUGGCGUCGUGGUGGGUGCGAAUUCACAGCACAGCAUCCCAGCCGCUCCCUACCAUAGGUCUCUCGAUGUUACAAGCUGUGGACCUCUGGAUCCCCAAGGACUGCGUUCACGGCCCAGGAAGUAGUGGCUGCCUCUGGACAACCUCCCAGGCACCUUCACUGACAGGGGCAUGGGCACCCGUGAUGCUGUCCCCCCAGGUACGGGGCUGCACUCUGCCUGGGAGAUGUAGCCAGGCCGGUGGCCAUGCCUUCCUGCCCUCGCCCAAGGCUCUCUGCUGGCUGU